GAUGAACGCUGGCGGCGUGCCUAAUACAUGCAAGUCGAGCGAACAUACGAGGAGCUUGCUCCUCUGACGUUAGCUGCGGACGGGUGAGUAACACGUGGAUAACCUACCUAUAAGACUGGGAUAACUUCGGGAAACCGGAGCUAAUACCGGAUAAUAUAUUGAACCGCAUGGUUCAAUAGUGAAAGACGGUUUUGCUGUCACUUAUAGAUGGAUCCGCGCCGCAUUAGCUAGUUGGUAAGGUAACGGCUUACCAAGGCAACGAUGCGUAGCCGACCUGAGAGGGUGAUCGGCCACACUGGAACUGAGACACGGUCCAGACUCCUACGGGAGGCAGCAGUAGGGAAUCUUCCGCAAUGGGCGAAAGCUUGACGGAGCAACGCCGCGUGAGUGAUGAAGGUCUUCGGAUCGUAAAACUCUGUUAUUAGGGAAGAACAAAUGUGUAAGUAACUAUGCACGUCUUGACGGUACCUAAUCAGAAAGCCACGGCUAACUACGUG
rnacentral:rRNA from 1 species